UUAAACCCAAAGUAAAGGUAUCUUUCAAGAAUCACAGUGCAUUGAUAACAAGUGUAGUCCCUGGGGAUUAUGAUGGAGAUUCUCAAAUGGAUGUCCUUCUGACAUAUCUUCCCAAAAAUUAUGCCAAGAGUGAAUUAGGAGCUGUUAUCUUCUGGGGACAAAAUCAAACAUUAGAUCCUAACAAUAUGACCAUACUCAAUAGGACUUUUCAAGAUGAGCCACUAAUUAUGGAUUUCAAUGGUGAUCUAAUUCCUGAUAUUUUUGGUAUCACAAAUGAAUCCAACCAGCCACAGAUACUAUUAGGAGGCCAUACCACCCUGAACGCGCCCCAUCUCUUCUGAUCUCGGAAGCUAACCAAGGUCAGACCUGGUUAGUGCUUGGAUGGGAGAUCACCUAUUACUUUUUCUGUAGGUUUUUAAUAAAGAAUAUGGGUGCUUUGAUGCUAGUAAUAGUGAACUUUGAAAUAAUUAUUGUGAAUCCUGAAUGAGAAACCUGUUUUUUUCUCCAAAAUUUGAAAAAUAUCUUGAAGAGAGUCUUGCUUUAGAGACAAAUUGGAAGGAGAUCCUGAUUUGCUUUUGUGGCCGUAUCCAAGAGGAAUUGAGUGCAGGUGGGGUGCAGGGAAAACACAGUCCACUCCCCACCACCACUCCGCUCCUUCCACAGCAAAUGGGGACUGCUCAGAAAACCCUGUCCUUUCUUUUCCUCUCUUCAAAGGCAGGCAUGUGAUUGAGGAUGUGAUGGUGACUUCUGGCCUGUUUUAUUUUGUGGUAACUUCACUUUAGUCAGGGAAAUAAUUGGAAUAUCUUUAAUCUGAUGUAGUUUGACCUUUAGAAAUUGAAAGUGAAACAGCUAUUGUUGAUAAUUCACAAAGUAUUAAUAAAACUUCUAUUACCUGUACAGAUUUUUUACUUAAUCUGCGAGAAAACUAUUUAGAAUAUUAUGGAAUUGUGCCAUAGCUUCUUUAUUUGUUCUUAAUUCUAUAUUAGAUUUUUUUUUCUCUGCUUCAUGAACAAGUUCAGAUUUUAAAACAUCAUGCCUGAAGACAUGUCCAACUUUAUUUUUUAUAUGUUAUAUUCUGGUCCAAUAUACUAGAGUAAUAAUACUCUGGUAUUUUAGGAUAUCUGUCAUUUGAACCUCAGUUACAAAUUAAACAAUAGUAGCUAACCAUAUCUAAGUGAUAAGUUUGCAUCUAAGAUUUGUCCUGAUGCCAGUUUGAAGAUAUAUAAGCUGACAGAAAUUUGCAUUGUUUAGAAUGACUGUAGUCUAACAAUAUCAUGGUUCAGACAACAGAAAGCUGAAUAUGCCCCUGUGGCAGCAAAUAUUAAUAUGUUACUAAAAUAUGAAAACUACGUUUAAGCAAUGUCAGUUUUAUAAACAACAGAUAAGAUAUGUACAUAGGUGAGUAAGUGAAAAAGUCAUCAGCAUUGACAUUUUGGGUUAUUCACGUGACCUUGAUUGGCAGCCUAAUCUUUUAUUUAUCAAGAAAUCUACCUUUUACAACUUAAAUAUUAUGCUUUAUGGAUAUGCCAAACCCAAGAUUAUCUUUAAUUGAAUUUGACCAGCGCUUUGGUUUGGGAAGCAUGCAAUGAUCUUUAAAUUCAGUGUGAAAUGCUUCUGUAGAAUUAUAGCAGAAAGCCCUUGCUAUAACCUGGCUUAGUGCAGACAUGCAAAUCUGAGAUAGCACAACCAGUUUGGCUGGACUAAAGGUGCAGAUGAUCAGUCUAAACAGCAGUGGUGAUAAGCAGAAGAAUUCCUUAUAAUUGGUACAGUGGGGUUAUCUAACAGGGACAGGAAGGGCACUCACUGCAUCUAAUGAGGUUCAGGAGGUAAUUGAAGUGUGUUAAAUGGUCAAAGGUGAGACUUCAGUUUGAGCUUCAACUUCACUUAUAAUGACUUGAAAUAAUGUAAUAAUGUGCCAUAUUACUUAGAAAUAACACCUAGCUGUUAAGUGUCACAGCAGCUUCUGCAGUGAUGUGACGUUAUUGAUAAUGAGCAUUUUCUAUAAGAGGACAUUGGAAACUGAUGUUGCAUACUCAUUCAGAAUAUUGUUUUUAAUGUUGAAGUGAAAACACUUGUACCUGUAAUUUUAGUCAAAACCAAAUAUAAUGUUGGUCUGUUAAAAUUUUCUGACUCAAAAAAAAAAAAAAAAAAAAAAAUUUUCUGACUCACGUACUGAGUUCAAAUACGUUCUGGGUCAGGCCCAAGUUGUAUACUUGGAGAUAUUAAUGUAGGUAUGUGACAGAUAUAUACUUUGCCGUACACUGUUUACAUCACAAGUGAUCGCAUGAAAAUAUUGAAUGUGGUAUAAGUAGCACUGAAAGCAAUCAUUUUUAACUGUUGUGUGGGUAGAUUUUGCCCCUCCAUUAUCAAAAAAACUGUAUUCUCUAUUUAAAUGUAGUCAGCUACUAUCAAUCCAGAAGAAAUAAAUCUGCAUUUUUCCAUUUAGCCUUUCAUAUUUUCUCACAUUAUAACCAAUGACUGAUUUAUUAAAUCACCCUUCAGUUUUACUGUUGAUUUUGUUUGUUUGCUGAUACAUUACAGAAAAUAUUAUAAAUAUUUGUUUUAAUGAAGUGUGACAUUGUAUCACUUAAAUCUAUUGUUUAGUAAGAAUAUGAAAAUUAUGAUGAGGUUUAUAACACAAAAUAAAACCAAAUAAUACUCAA
rnacentral:lncRNA from 10 species